AUGUGUGAGUCUCUGCUGACUUGUAGCCAAUAUGUGAGCACAGAAAGGAGAGUCUAAGAUUAGAAUGGUUCUAUCCCUCCUCCCUCCUGCUAUCACUUUUAUUUUUCCAACAUAGGACAUGCCGUCAAAAGAAGAAUGCAUUUUGCAUCUUGAAUUCCAUAAGUUGCCAGCUGGCAGAGACACUGGAAAUUCAAAGACUGUUCUUCAUACUUGUGGUAAG